rnacentral:tRNA from 2 species
GGGCAAUUAGCUCAGUUGGAUAGAGUGUCAGCCUCCGGAGCUGAAGGUCACAGGUUCGAAUCCUGUAUUGCCCGCCA